AGCGAUUUAGCUUAGAGGUUAAAGCCUUGGAAUCAUAAUCCAAAAAGCAGGGUUCGAUUCCCUGAUUCGCUA
rnacentral:tRNA from 1 species